CCAGUAAGAGCCUGGCUGGGCUGCUGGGGCAGCAGAGGAGCUCUGGGAGAGACAUGGGAGUACCUGCUGGAAGAGGAGAUCAUUCACCAACCUGAGCGUCCUGACCACGCUGAACUCACUUGCACAUUUUGAAUUUGUGGAUAAUUUACAUGGAAGAUGGGCAAACUUCUGGAAAGGCUCAUUCCAGUCUGAGGGAAUGAAGAUUUCAUUCAAGAGUGCUGCAAUUCAAGCCUGUUCCAGACAGAUUCUUUGGUCUGCUGUGCAGAAAUUGAGCAGCUCGUGUAAAACUUCAUUUGAGGGACUUGACAAACUGUACAGGAGGAAAAAAAAAAUGCAGGAUGGAUGGGCUGCUAGCUCGGGAUGAACGCUGCUGCUGCUGCUGUGUACAGAGGCAGAACGUGCCUGGGUGAGGCUCCAUUUGCCAGGGAACACAGCAGAUAUUCUGGUCUAAAACAGAAUAUCUGGGGUGGGUUACCAGUCUGGGAGGACUGAGGUUUAACAGCAAAGGACAGAGUUCUUCUCAGGCAGCUCAUCCUCAAACUGGGGAAUGGUAUUGCACAGUGCAGGGCUGCAGAUGGGCUCAG